CUUAUUCCGCAUCUGCUAAGGGGCGUCGGGUUCCCUAUUCAUCCAUUCCUUCGUGGGCUCCUGGAGUUCUACGGCCUCCAGUUGCACAACUUUACCCCAGCCUCCGUACUACAUAUAGCAGGGUAUGUCGCCCUUUGUGAGCUAUUUUUAGGUUGCGAGGCUCAUUUCGGAUUGUGGAAGAAGCUGUUCUGCCUUGUCCCCCGCAACCAGGGAGAAUCCCUAUGUCAAGUGGGCGGGGCCGAAGUAUGGCGUAUCGCUGAGACCGGAUACCUAUCCGGCACUCCCAAGAAGGCACCGGAUAACUAG
rnacentral:rRNA from 1 species